CCUACGGGCGGCAGCAGUGGGGAAUAUUGGACAAUGGGCGAAAGCCUGAUCCAGCCAUGCCGCGUGUGUGAAGAAGGCAUUCGGGUUGUAAAGCACUUUCAGUGGGGAAGAAAGCCUUGGGGCUAAUACCCUCGAGGAAGGACAUCACCCACAGAAGAAGCACCGGCUAACUCCGUGCCAGCAGCCGCGGUAAUACGGAGGGUGCGAGCGUUAAUCGGAAUUACUGGGCGUAAAGCGCGCGUAGGCGGUCUGAUAAGCCGGUUGUGAAAGCCCCGGGCUCAACCUGGGAACGGCAUCCGGAACUGUCAGGCUAGAGUGCAGGAGAGGAAGGUAGAAUUCCCGGUGUAGCGGUGAAAUGCGUAGAGAUAGGGAGGAAUACCAGUGGCGAAGGCGGCCUUCUGGACUGACACUGACGCUGAGGUGCGAAAGCGUGGGUAGCAAACAGGAUUAGAUACCCCAGUAGUC
rnacentral:rRNA from 1 species